GGGCCAGUAGCUCAGCUGGUAAAGCAUCCGUCUAGUACAGGAAAGGUCCUAGGUUUGACUCCUAGCCAGUCCA